rnacentral:tRNA from 1 species
CCUGUAGCUCAGUGGCUAGAGUGCUAGUUAUAUACACUGGAAGUGGCAGGUUCGAAUCCAGCCUGG